GGGGGAGGGAGGGAGGGAAAGUUAGACUUGUGUCUGGACCGGCGGUGUGUUGGAAAGUGCAAAAAACAGAUAUAAGAGAUGCACUUCGUAGACAAAGGAAACAACGUAUUUGUUCCUCAGAAGUUGUUGGGCUUUUGUCCUCGGUGGGAUUUAAGAGUGGCCAGGAGAUGGACGUGUCUGCCUGACACUGCUCUCCCCCCCCACCUCCACUGUCUCCAGCCCCCACCCUGGCGCGCACCCCUUCGAGAAAACCAGCAGAAGAAGGAGGGAGGAGGGCAGAGGGGACUCUUGAAGAAGAGUCUGCAAAGAUAGAAAAAAAAGAGAGACAGCGAGGGGAGCGAGAAGAAGAAGAAGAGGGGAGGUGGACAGCGCUGUUCCAGCUAUCCAAAGGGCUGACAUCGAGGAGAGGAAAGUAACCACCAGGAAAAAAAAAAAAAAGAAACUUUUGCAGUCUCGCCACUGAGAUGAUGAUCAGGGAGGGGAGGCUGGAUGUUCGAAGGGGAACGACAGCUCUAAAAUUGGACGGCAGGGCAGAUGAGGGAGCCUCGCUCUGGAUGAUCGCUCCACCGUGCCCCACCACAGCCCAAGGAUGAGGAGGUCAGGCUCUCAGCUCAACGGCCGGGGCUGUCGGAACGCCUCCCUGAGGAGUCCCCCUCCAGCACGCUCUUCCUGAUGCUUUAUAAGAUUCCAUAGGCUUGCUGGAAAUGCAGAGAGGAGCAGAAAGACAACCUAUUGUAUCUGCUCAUGAAAAUAACAAGUGGUGUGAGAUUUAAGCUGCAGACCUUUGCCGGGAAAAUGGUAAACACCGUCUACAGGGACGAGGAAAGUGGCAUCCAAGACCGGGAGGGCAAGGAGGAAUCCAUCUUGGCCCUUCUGGGCAUCGUGGGCACCAUCCUCAACUUGGCGGUCAUCAUCUUCGUCUACCUGUACACUACGCUGUAGAUCUCCCGGUCCACACCCCUGGACCCCACUAUUAAUUAAAGCCCCCCUCCCAUGGUUUUCAUCUCUUCAGACUCUUCUUUUGUCAGUAUCUUUUACGGCACUGGCUCUCAGAAUGACCCUGGGACCAGCGCCUGAGAUGUUGGGCUUCCCCCGCGGCACGCGCGAGCUGAGACUACGUGAACGCCAUGUGGCGUGCAUCCACCUGCGCGGUUCCCAACGUGGGGUCUCGAGACUACCGGAGAGGGGGCUGGCAUUCCCGAUGGCUCCGUCGCCUCCCAAGAAUGCAUAUUGUAGAAUAUUGCUGGCUCGCUGUUUGAUUUCUACAUGACUGACGGAAGGAGAGAGAGAGCUUGGUUCUCCCGCCACAAACAAAACCCAGCUUUCACCAAGGUCCCGGCGAACCAGGAAUGGCGGGGAAAAACAGCUUGAUAGCUGUUGCUAUGGCAGCACGCGUUUGGCAGUGGUUGGACUCAAUAUGAGGAAAUUUAUAGUAUUUAAAGGUUAUGUAUGUUUUUCUGGAGGAAUUAAUCCAAAAGUUCUAAAUUACUGUUAAUAGCCAAAUUACCAUUUAUUAUGCUAUAAUACACACAACUAGUUUGAUGUAUUAUUUACUAUACAUUUUUUUUUUCUCUCAUGAUCAUAUAUGAAUAUUUGCAGGAUUGAUAUUGUCUGGACAAAUGUUAAGACAGUUUUCUUCCAUUUGGUCACAAUAGAAUCAUUAAUAUUAUUUUAAUGGCAGGCCUUAUUUUCUUAUAAUGGUACUGGGAAAAAAGUGCUGAGACUUAUUGCGAUGAAGACGUGAUAUGAGACAGAAUCCGAAGUUUCAAGUUGCAUGAGCGUAUUAACAUGUUAUUUUGUAAAUAUAAUUGUAUUUAGCUAAUCAUGGUCAUAUGAUUUAUUUUAAUUUGAUUAAAUUCAUUUUGGAAGGUGUAUUGAUAUUUAAAGACUUUGCAUUGUGGAUGUUUGCCUUAACAUUACAGGAAAUGUAUGUUUCCAAUAUGUGUACAAUUAUCAGGUUAAAACGACUUAAAGAAGGGUUUCUCUUAAGUAAAUGGCUCCGUAAAGUUUUCAACUUUCUGUCUUGAUAAACAAAUAUGUCUUGAUAAGUGACAUUAGCCUAUAACCAAAUGAGAAAGUACGGUAGUGGGAAUUAGCCUACAUAGAAGACCGACAUAGCGUAUUCACCACUUUUUCUUUCGUCUGUUGAAAGUCUAUAAUUUAACAACCCCAUGAUUUGAGAAAGUGCCUGAGAUCACAGUGUCUCAAAUUCACCUUUCGAAGAUGAAGUAGAAAAGCAUGCAAAUUGUUCUAGUCAAUCAUUGCUUUUCUAAUAUUAUGUCACUCACCAAGCAUCUAUUUCAAAUUGAAAGUCUCUCAAUUUCAUGUUUUUUGGAAAUGUUUGGUCUACUCAAUAUACCUUUGUCAGUGAAAUAUUAAAUCCCAAAUUAUAUACAAAUUACAAGGUAAAAGAAAGCUUAAUAAGCAAAGUCUUGCACAUCUAUUCAGACUUUGAUGUGAGGCUAUUAAGCCAACUUUAAUAAUUGUUUAACUUAUCCUUACAGAGCUCGUCACUCAAGUGUUUAGAUAUGGAAUUGAUGUGUAUUCUGGAUCUCUUUCAACUGAAUAGUUUAACGGAAUUACUCGAAUGUUGUCCGAUCUUUCGACCUUUUAUGUCCUUGGUAUGAAUCGUUUUUUCAAGAGAAUUACAAAAUAAAUGCUUUUGGGCAG
ensembl:lncRNA